ACUCCUACGGGAGGCAGCAGUGGGGAAUAUUGCACAAUGGGGGAAACCCUGAUGCAGCCAUGCCGCGUGUGUGAAGAAGGCCUUCGGGUUGUAAAGCACUUUCAGUAGGGAGGAAGGUAGUGUAGUUAACACCUGCAUUAUUUGACGUUACCUACAGAAGAAGCACCGGCUAACUCCGUGCCAGCAGCCGCGGUAAUACGGAGGGUGCGAGCGUUAAUCGGAAUUACUGGGCGUAAAGCGCAUGCAGGCGGCCUGUUAAGUCAGAUGUGAAAGCCCGGGGCUUAACCUCGGAAUUGCAUUUGAAACUGGCAGGCUAGAGUCUUGUAGAGGGGGGUAGAAUUUCAGGUGUAGCGGUGAAAUGCGUAGAGAUCUGAAGGAAUACCAGUGGCGAAGGCGGCCCCCUGGACAAAGACUGACGCUCAGAUGCGAAAGCGUGGGGAGCAAACAGGAUUAGAUACCCUGGUAGAUAGCG
rnacentral:rRNA from 1 species